rnacentral:rRNA from 1 species
AUUAGAUACCCUGGUAGUCCACGCAGUAAACGAUGAAUACUAAUUGUCCGGGCAGAGAGAUGCCUGGGUGAUACAGCGAAAGCGUUAAGCAUUCCACCUGGGGAGUACGCCGGCAACGGUGAAACUCAAAGGAAUUGACGGGGGCCCGCACAAGCGGAGGAACAUGUGGCUUAAUUCGAUGAUACGCGAGGAACCUUACCCGGGCUCAAACGCCGUCUGACGUAGGCUGAAAGGCUUAUUUCUUCGGACAGACGGCGAGGUGCUGCAUGGUUGUCGUCAGCUCGUGCCGUGAGGUGUCGGCUUAAGUGCCAUAACGAGCGCAACCCCUGUCGACAGUUGCUAACAGGUUAAGCUGAGGACUCUGUCGAGACUGCCGGCGCAAGCUGUGAGGAAGGCGGGGAUGACGUCAAAUCAGCACGGCCCUUACGUCCGGGGCGACACACGUGUUACAAUGGCAGGUACAGCGGGAAGCCACCCGGCGACGGGGCGCGGAACCCGAAAACCUGUCUCAGUUCGGAUUGGAGUCUGCAACCCGACUCCAUGAAGCUGGAUUCGCUAGUAAUCGCGCAUCAGCCACGGCGCGGUGAAUACGUUCCCGGGCCUUGUACACACCGCCCGUCAAGCCAUGGAAGCCGGGGGUACCUGAAGUACGUGACCGCAAGGAGCGUCCUAAGGUAAAACCGGUGACUGGGGCUAAGUCGUAACAAGGUAAC